rnacentral:rRNA from 1 species
AUUGAACGCUGGCGGCAUGCUUUACACAUGCAAGUCGAACGGUAACAGGCCUUCGGGUGCUGACGAGUGGCGAACGGGUGAGUAAUGCAUCGGAACGUACCCAGAGGUGGGGGAUAACGCAGCGAAAGCUGUGCUAAUACCGCAUGUGAUCUGAGGAUGAAAGCGGGGGACCGAGCAGCAAUGUUUGGCCUCGCGCCUUUGGAGCGGCCGAUGUCGGAUUAGCUAGUUGGUGGGGUAAAGGCCUACCAAGGCGACGAUCCGUAGCCGGUCUGAGAGGACGACCAGCCACACUGGGACUGAGACACGGCCCAGACUCCUACGGGAGGCAGCAGUGGGGAAUUUUGGACAAUGGGCGCAAGCCUGAUCCAGCAAUGCCGCGUGCGGGAAGAAGGCCUUCGGGUUGUAAACCGCUUUUGGCAGGAACGAAACGGUGUCCGCUAAUACCGGGCGCUAAUGACGGUACCUGCAGAAUAAGCACCGGCUAACUACGUG